rnacentral:lncRNA from 1 species
GCUACAGAAGCUGUUUAAUAUGAAGGUGGUCCUUUAUUCAUUCGACAUGUUCGAUUUCUUUGCAUUUUCUUCCAUUCCACAUUAAAGUUGUGGUUACCAAGAGCCGGGUCAUUGUUGCUCAAAUGAAAUCUGGAAUUGCUAAGCAUAUUAAGUAGGGUAUCCUGGCUGUUUGUGACAACAGACUGUUUCUAGUCCAUUUUGUUAUAUAAAAAAGUCACUCUCAACUAAAGUAACCACUGCAUUUCCUUUGUAAAAAGGUAAUUUAACUGGCUUUUCUCACUGUUGCCACCCACAUAGGGCAA